rnacentral:lncRNA from 1 species
CCGACACAAAAAUUCCAAAUUUGAUUAAAAAUUCAAACUAAUAUUUUGGCAUAAUGAUAUUGAAGAAAAUAAUAUCAUUUAAGAAGAAAAUAACAUCCCUUACCUCAAAAUAACGGUACUUCUGAUCGAAAUAUCGGAUAUAAAGUCGAAGAAAACUUGUUCCGAACAGCAACUCUCAAAGUAUCAAAAUACUCACAAAAAUACACUCGAUAAUCUAGAGAGAAAGAAAACUUAUUUCUGGUGUGAUUUUCAAAUCUAACCUAAGUGUCUAUUUAUAGGAAAAUGCUAGAACGCCAUAGGAGACUAAAAUAAUAAAAUAUUAUUUUUUUUCUUUCCUUUUUUUUCCUACGCAUGCAAAGACCAGCCAUCUAUCAUGCCAUUCUUGAAAAAAAAUCCCAACAGCCCACAUAUAAAACAAAAGUGGGUUCCACCCAUAAUUUAAUAAAAAUCAUUUUAUUUUCCAAAACUUCAGUAAUUCAUAGAAAUUAGCCCAUUUAUCAGAAAAAUACGAAUUUUAUGUCCAUUCCACACGAAAUCGAAUUCUCUACAACUUUGUAGCUUUGAGUUUUUCCAAAUUCCAAACAAAAAAUAUUCAAAAUCCACAAACGGAUGAUUUUUAAUACCUUCAUUCCGACAAAAUACUGAUAAAAUACCUCAGCAUUAAUUCCUUCAUUAAUAACCACAUAAAAUAAAUAAAUCCAUCAUUUAUAUCCACAUCAAAUAAAU